UACGUAGGAGGCAAGCGUUAUCCGGAAUGACUGGGCGUAAAGGGUGCGUAGGUGGUUUGACAAGUUGGUAGCGCAACUCCGGGGCUCAACCCCGUCGAGCCGUUGAAACUGGCAGACUUGAGUUGGCGAGAAGUACGCGGAAUGCGCGGUGUAGCGGUGAAAUGCAUAGAUAUCGCGCAGAACUCCGAUUGCGAAGGCAGCGUACCGGCGCCAGACUGACGCUGAGGCACGAAAGCGUGGGGAUCGAACAGG
rnacentral:rRNA from 1 species